GGAAGCCAAUGGAUGAAGGCUUAAGUAAAAAAACUGAAGUACCAUUGUCAUGUUGUUGUACAUGCCAUUCAAAGAAUUUCACACACAGAGACCUGAACCAAGGAACUUCACCUCAUUUCAAUAGUCCAAGCACGCCACCUUCUGAAAGAAAUGGCAGUUCAUCGACUUGUCAAGGUAAAUUGUAUUUCUCUUGGAUCUGCUGGUUAUUUGUAAUUGGAGCCUUAAUUAUUACUGAUAUGAGGCUUAGUUUAGUUAGCAUAAUUAAUUAUGUAUCUCUACAUAAUUUUUAUGGAUUUAUUUAUUUAUUUAUGUUUGGUGCUAGGGAUGAAACCUAGGGCCUCGUGCAUACUAAGCAUGUGCUUCACCACUAAGUUAUAUACCCAGCUGGAAUUAUUUUAAAAUAACUUCAGCCUUUUUCAAUUCUUGGUUUGACUUAAUCCUUUGAGACAUUUUGCUGGCUUACAUUGUUUUUUGAUGAAUCUAAAGGAAAGUAAAAGAUUAGAAAUUGAUAUGGUCUUGUAAAAAGAUUAGAAAUUUAUAUCAUUUGUAGUCAGUAUUGUUAAUUAUAUGCUAAACUUUUUUUUUUUUAAGAGAGAGAGAGAAUUUUUUAAUAUUUAUUUUUUUUGGGUUUUCGGCGGACACAACAUCUUUGUUUGUAUGUGGUGCUGAGGAUUGAACCCAGGCUGCACACAUGCCAGGCGAGUGCGCUACCGCUUGAGCCACAUCCCCAGCCCUAUAUGCUAAACUUUUUUAUAAAACAUAGUGUUUGUAUCCUAAAACACAAUCUCAUUAUUCAUUCUUGAUAAAUUUGCCUGCCUUCUGAAAAUAGUGUUCUGUGUAAGAAUCAGGUAUGUUUUAUGUAUGGUCCUUAAAUUGUUCUUUUAUUUUUAAAAUUUUUUUAGCUAUAGAUGGACACAUACCUUUUUUUUUAAAUUUAUUUUUAUGUGGCGUUGAGGAUCGAACCCAGUGCUCACACAUGCUAGGCAAGCACUCUACCACUGAGCUACAACUGCAGCCUCCCUUAAAUAGUUCUUAUUAGAGUAAGAGAAAUAUAGUAACACUACCAUAAAAUUUUUAAAAAUAUUACGUGUUUCUGCUUUUUACUACUGUUAGUCGGGAUUAUUGAGAAUUGUCCAAAUAGGGUAAAUCUGGGUUGUGUUCUAAUACCCUCUUUGUAAGUAAAUUCUUUGACAGGAUAUAACCUAAAUACAGAAAAGUGCAAAUCCUUAGUAUAUAGCUUGAAUUUUCACAAAAUGAAUAUUUACUCAUGUAACUACCACUUAGAUUUAAAAAAAAAAAAAAAGACAUUACCCACACCUCAUAGGCUCCCCUGUUCUUUUUUGGGCACUAUGCCUUCCUUCCAUAGGUGACUUAUUCUACCUUCUGUCAGAAAUGAUGAAUUUUGCUUUUUUAGAAAUGGAAUUAUAUAUGUUCUAUAGUGUCUGCUUUUGCUUAACCUGUAUUUGCGAGAGUCAUCCAUGCUCUUUCAUAUGGUCAUAAUUCUUGUUUUAGUAUAUUAUUUUCUUGUGUGAACAUUACCAGAAUUUAUUAAUCUAUUUUAUGUUCAUUAGACAAUUGGAUUGUUUCUGCCUUUGUUUAAUGUAAUUAUGAAAAAAUUUUUUUUUUUCCUUUUCAUACUGGUGCAAAUAAGUAUUUUCUGUUAGAUACAUACCUAAGAAUGGAAUUGCUGGUCUGUUUUUAUGUAUAUUCAACUAUAGUAGAUACUGCCAAAAUUUUCCAAAGUGGUUGAACCAAUUUAUGUGUUCCUACCACUACACCUGUUCUCAGUACAUUCAUAUCACACUUUAUUAUGCUUUGCAGAUACUGUGGUAUUUUUGUUUUUAUUUUUUUAAAAAGUGAAAUUCUGUGGCAUUGAAAAAAUGUUGAUGGUAUUUUUUUUCUGACAGCUCAGAUAAUUAUUAGAAUUCUUUAAUAGUAAGGUUUUUUUUGGGGGAGGGCACCAGGCAUUGUCAGGGACACUUAGCCACUGAGCCACAUUGCCAGUGCUUUUUAAAAUUUUAUUUAGAGACAAGGUCUCACUGAGUUGCUUAGUCCCUCACUAUUGCUGAGGCUGGCUUUGAACUCACAAUCCUCCUGCCUCAAUCUCCCGGGCUGCUGGGAUUAUAGGUGUAUGCCACUGUGCCCAGCAUAAUAAGGUGUGUUUAAAUUAAGGUAUAUAUAUAUUUUUUCUGACAGCGCUAUUGUAGCCUUAAUAGACUAUAGUAUUGUAUAAACAUCGCUUUUUUCUUCCUUCCUUCCUUCCUUCCUUCCUUCCUUCCUUCCUUCCUUCCUUCCUUCCUUCCUUCCUUCCUGUCCUAGGGCACUUAACCACUGAACCACAUCCCCAAGCCUUUCUAUUUUAAAACAGAGUCUUUCUGAGUUGCUUAGGGCCUCAGCUAAAUUGCUGAGGCUGGCCUUGAACUUAUGCUCUUACCUCCAUUAGCCCCCCAGUUGCUAGGUUCACAGGCAUACACUACCAUAUCUGGCUAAACAUAACUUCUGUAUAUACUAGGAAACCAAAAAUUUCUUGUGACACUAUAUUGCAAUAUUUGCUUUAUUCAGAUGGUCUGAAACUGAACUCAUCAUAUCUCCAAGGUAUGCCUGUAUAUGAAAAUCUUCAUCAUUCUUUUAUUUAUUUAUUUUUAGUUGUUGAUAGAUCCUUAUUUUAUUUAUUUAUAUGGGAUGCUGAGAAUUGAACCCAGUGCCUCACACAUUCCUGGCAAGUGCUCUACCACUGGAGUUAUAACUCCAGCCCUGAAAAUCAUCAUUCUUGUUAGCACUUGAUAUUUCCAGUUUUUAAAAAUUUUAGCCAUUCUUGUGCAUGUGUGGUGUUCUCAUUGAGAUUUUUUGUUUUGCUUCAUUUUCUCUGGUGUUGAGGAUCAAACCCAGGGCCAACCCUAAUCCCAGUGCUGAGGUUCUUUAAUUUUUUUCUGUACUAGUGGUUCAACAUAGGGCCUCAUAUGUGUUAGGCAAGCACUCUACUACUGAACUAUAUCCCCAACCCUUUUAACUUCACUUUUGAGACAGGGUCUGACUAUGUUGCCCAGGCUAGCUGGCCUCUAAGUUGCCUCAGUAUCUAGAGUUAUCUGUAAUUGUAGGCAUGCCCCAGUUGGCCCUGAUUUUUAAUUGGUGUUUGUCUAGUGACCAAUGUACAUUUUCUUCUAUGUUUGUUCAUCUUUUAAUAUCUUCUUUAGUGAAUUGCCUGUUCAAGUUCAAGUUGUUUGCCAAUUUAUCUAUUGUUUUUUUUUUUUUUUUCUGAUUUCUAGGAGUUUCUUUUUCUUUAUAGUAUAUUUGGGAGAUACUGGUAUCUUGCUUUUUAAAGCAUGCAUCUCAAAGAUUUAACCCUUUUGAUAAGCUUCUUGUGAACUGUCCCACUAUGAAGUCAUUUUAUGUGUAAUGAUAGUAUGAUUUUUGUUUUUAUGAAUCGGGGUUACCCUUACUUGUUUUUCAUUGUUUUUUUUGUUUGUUUGUUUUUGUGCAGUACUGGGGAUUUAACCCAGGGCCUCAACCACUGAGCUACAUUUCUAGCUCUUUUUAAAAUUUUUUAAAAUUUUGAGACAGGGUCUUGCUAAGUUGCCUGUGCUGAUCUCAAACUUAACAAUUUUUGUGGCUUUGUUUCCUGAAUAUCUGAUACUGUGGGUUCAUACCACCACAUCUGGCAGGGUUACUUUUAUUUGCAGGAUGGCAGAUCAAUUUUUGUAAAACUAAAUUAUUGAUUGUUUUGGGGGGGAGGGGUGGGGAAGGGUACUGGGGAUUGAACCCAGAGGCGCUUCAAUCACUGAGCCACAUUCUUAGCCCUUUUUAUUUUUCUUUUGAGAUAGGGUGUUGCUAAGUUGCUGAGGCUGACCUAGAAUUUGUGAUCCUCCUGCCUUAGUCUCUUGAAUUGCUUGGAUUUCAGGCAUGUGCCACCAUGCCAGGCUAAAUUAUUAUUUUUAGUAAACAAUUCUUAAAUGUUUAAUGAGCCUGUGCAAAUUUGCUCCUUGAUGGCACAGUGCAUAAUAGUGGUACUGUUAACUUUUAGAGUGUGAUAAUUCUUUUUUAUGGCAUCUGCCCAUGCAUUGUGAGAUAUUUAGCAAUAUCCCUGGCCUUCUACAUGCUAGAUGACAGUAGCACCCUUCCUAGCAUUUCCCCACCCCGUUUGGUUUUGAGGAUUGAACUCAAGGUUUCACACAUGCACUCUAUCAUUGAACUAUACCCUUACCUCCCUUCCCAUUUUUGUGACAACCAAAAAUGUGUACAGACAUUAUUUAGUAUCCCAAAGUGUAGGGAGUGGUGAUAUUUAAAUUGCUCCAGUUGAUAAUUACUAAUAUAGGCUUAUUCUGUAGUUAUUUUACUGGUUUAUUUAAAAAUUACAGAACUCAAAUUAGCGUGUCUUGCUUUGCGCAGUGGCACAUGCCUGUAAUCCCAGCAGCACGGGAGGCUGAGGCAGGAAGAUUGCGAAUUCAAAGCCAGCCUCAGCAAUGGCGAGGCGCCAAGCAACUCAGUGAGACUGUGUCUCCAGAUAAAAUUUAAAAAGGGCUGGGGAUGUGCCCCAGUGGUUAAGCACCACUGGGUUCAAUCCUCUGUACCAAAAAACCAAAACAACAAAGCAAAAAAAUUGCAUGUCUUAUCUAAAAUAUAUGGAAAUGUUAAAGACUAGCCAACACAAUUUGAAAGAAACAGGUCAAAGAGAGAACUUUAUAUAUAAGAUAUUCAAUUUAUUACACAUAAAACUUAGUAAUUCAGACAGUUUGAUAUUAGCACAGUGAUAAACCAGUGUAAAAGUAUAGAGAAUCCAAAUUCAGUCCCACAUGUAUCCAGAAACUUGUUAUUGGAAGUACUCCUACAGAGCAUAGGGGAAAGGAGUGACUUUUCUAUAAGUGAUUCUGAAACUAUUGGGUAUUGAUAUGGAAAAAAAUUGAAAUUAGAGCCCUACUUUAUACCAUACAUAAAAAUCCAUUGUAGGUAGAUUGAAGAUCUAGAUAUGAAAGAGAAAACCAUAGUGAUUUUCAAACAAUGCUUCAAACACAUAAGGUUAAGGGGACAGUGGAUCAAGGAAGUUCUAGGUCUUUCAUCACUACUUUAGAGAUAUUAAGCAAUAUUUAUUUUAAAAAAUAGUCCUAAGCCUCAGCAACUUAGUCCCUGUAAUACCAUGGACUAGGAAGCUAAAGCAGGAUAAUUGCAAGUUUGAGUCCAAUGUGGACAAUAUAGUUAGACAGUAUUUCAAAAUUAAAAAAAAAAUUAAGAAGGCUGAGGAUGUAGCUCAAUAGUAAAGUGUCCCAGGUUCAAUCCCUGCGCCCCCCCCCCCCAAUUCUAAUAAUUAAAAAAGCUUAAAAGUAAUGCCAUGCAGCUUAGAUUCACUUUUGUGUUUGUGUAGGACCAAACUUUUUUUUUUUUUUUGUACUGGGGAUUGAACUCAGGGGAACUUGGCCAUUAAGCCACAUCCCCAGCUCUGUUUUCUAUUUUAUUUAGACACAUGGUCUCACUGAGUUGCUUAGCACCUCACUAUUGCUGAAGCUGGCUUUGAACUCUUGAUCCUCCUGCCUUAACCUCCCUGGCCGCUGGGAUUAUAGGUGUGUGCCACUGUGCUUGGCUCCAAACUUGUUUUUUUGAGAAUGGUGCAGGAAUUGUUUGUGUAGGUCUCUCCCAUAAAUAGUAUGUAAAUCCUUUAUGAUGAGGCAGUGGUUUUUGUUCAUUGGUUUUCCAUGAUAUCUGACCAGUUUAUGGACUCAAUAUAAUAAAUGGUUGUCAAAUGAAUUCAAGCCGUGGAAGUGGAAAGAAUCAUCGAGAGUGGCCAAAGGAAGGAUGGUACCUUUAAGAGCACUCACAUUCAGGAAAAGGGAGAAACCAAUAUAUAGGAAUAGUUAAAAAUAGUUUUAAAGAUAUUAAGGGAAAAGGAAAUGUGUUUGCUGUUUUCUAAGAACACAGGGUGUUAUGUUUGUCGUUAUGCUUAGUGGUUAUACUUAUGGAUAUUGAAGUCAAAUAUUUGACAGAUCUGUCACACACAAGUCUGCCACUUAUAGUUAUGUGAUAUUAGGCAAGUUACUUCACCUUAAUACCAAGUGUAUUUAUAAUUCCACAUUUGUAAACUGGGAUAAUUGAUGUUAUUUGGUGAUUAAAGAGGUUGUUCAUGGCCUUGAAAAAGCUCUCAUGAUUGUGGGAUUAAGACAGAUUAUAUGAGCUUGAUUCCAUAAUCAAUAUUUUUAGCGUAAAAAACAUGGUGAAGUUCAGUAGGAAAGGAACAUUGAGAUUUUUAUAAAAAUGAAAUGCAUUUCUUAAGUCUUGACUCUUGACAGUUCUAUUUCUUCAACCAUGUUAUUGGAAAUAGUCUAUAAAACCAUAAAUCUGUUUUAAAAAUCAAACCUUGACUUUCCCUAUUGCAAGCAUGUUUCUCAAAACAUUGUAUCUUUGGUAAAAACUGAGUGGUAAUAAAGUACUUUUAUUUCUGGUGCUCUUUUAAAAAAAUUGCUUAAGUGUGAGUUAUUUAUACUAAUUUUUUAUUUCUUAUAUAAGACUCUCCUGAAAAAAACACUCUGGCUGCAAAGUUAUCUGCCAAGAAACAGGCAUCCACAUGUCGGGAUGAAAAUGAUGAUUUUCAAGUAGAGAAGAAAAGAAUUCGACAUGUAG
rnacentral:lncRNA from 1 species